UACGAAGGGGGCUAGCGUUGUUCGGAGUUACUGGGCGUAAAGGGCGCGUAGGCGGCCCUCCAAGUCGGGUGUGAAAGCCCACGGCUCAACCGUGGAAUUGCACUCGAGACUGAAGGGCUCGAGGACGGGAGAGGAUGGUGGAAUUCCCAGUGUAGAGGUGAAAUUCGUAGAUAUUGGGAGGAACACCUAUGGCGAAGGCAGCUCGCUGGGACGUUACUGACGCUGAGACGCGAAAGCGUGGGGAGCAAACAGG
rnacentral:rRNA from 1 species